CGCACCUUGCGCCCCUUGGUAUUCCGAGGGGCAUGCCUGUUUGAGUGUCAUGUUAAUCUCAAGCCACAGGUCUUUUUAACCGGAGACCUGUUUGGGUUUGGAUCUGGAGGUUACUGCUGGCUCCACCCUUCUUUUGUGGUCGGCUCCUCUGAAAUGCAUUAGCUGGGCUUUGGUUCGCAUCUACGGCGUAAUAGUAACUUGUAUAUUCGCCGGGUGCUUGUCUAGAGAGUCCGCUUCUAACUGCCCUCGGGCAAGGUCCUUCUUCUGUUGCGACCUUCUUGAACACUUUGACCUCAGAUCAGGUAGGACUACCCGCUGAACUUAA
rnacentral:misc_RNA from 1 species